ACGAGCGGCGAACGGCGUAGUAACACGUGAGCAACCUACCCUCAACUUCGGGAUAAGCCUCGGAAACGGGGUCUAAUACCGGAUAUCACUCCUUGUCUCAUGGCUUGGGGUUGAAAGUUCUGGCGGUUGGGGAUGGGCUCGCGGCCUAUCAGCUUGUUGGUGGGGUAAUGGCCUACCAAGGCGUCGACGGGUAGCCGGCCUGAGAGGGCGACCGGCCACACUGGGACUGAGACACGGCCCAGACUCCUACGGGAGGCAGCAGUGGGGAAUAUUGCGCAAUGGACGAAAGUCUGACGCAGCAACGCCGCGUGAGGGAUGACGGCCUUCGGGUUGUAAACCUCUUUCAGCAGGGACGAAGCGAGAGUGACGGUACCUGCAGAAGAAGGACCGGCCAACUACGUGCCAGCAGCCGCGGUAAUACGUAGGGUCCGAGCGUUGUCCGGAAUUAUUGGGCGUAAAGGGCUCGUAGGCGGUUCGUCACGUCGGGAGUGAAAACUCGGAGCUCAACUCCGAGCCUGCUUCCGAUACGGGCAGACUAGAGGUAGGCAGGGGAGAGCGGAACUCCUGGUGUAGCGGUGGAAUGCGCAGAUAUCAGGAAGAACACCGGUGGCGAAGGCGGCUCUCUGGGCCUUACCUGACGCUGAGGAGCGAAAGCGUGGGUAGCGAACAGGAUUAGAUACCCUGGUAGUCCACGCCGUAAACGUUGGGCGCUAGGUGUGGGGGACAUUCCACGUCCUCCGUGCCGCAGCUAACGCAUUAAGCGCCCCGCCUGGGGAGUACGGCCGCAAGGCUAAAACUCAAAGGAAUUGACGGGGGCCCGCACAAGCGGCGGAGCAUGCGGAUUAAUUCGAUGCAACGCGAAGAACCUUACCUGGGUUUGACAUAUAGGGAAAUCCUCCAGAGAUGGGGGGUCCGUAAGGGUCCUAUACAGGUGGUGCAUGGCUGUCGUCAGCUCGUGUCGUGAGAUGUUGGGUUAAGUCCCGCAACGAGCGCAACCCUCGUCCUAUGUUGCCAGCACGUUAUGGUGGGGACUCAUAGGAGACUGCCGGGGUCAACUCGGAGGAAGGUGGGGAUGACGUCAAGUCAUCAUGCCCCUUAUGUCCAGGGCUUCACGCAUGCUACAAUGGCCGGUACAAAGGGUUGCGAUACCGCAAGGUGGAGCGAAUCCCAAAAAGCCGGUCUCAGUUCGGAUUGGGGUCUGCAACUCGACCCCAUGAAGUCGGAGUCGCUAGUAAUCGCAGAUCAGCAACGCUGCGGUGAAUACGUUCCCGGGCCUUGUACACACCGCCCGUCACGUCAUGAAAGUCGGCAACACCCGAAGC
rnacentral:rRNA from 1 species